CAAAUCCAUGUAUAGGUAACACUGUUACGGGUUCAUUGAGUUUCUUCUAGCUUUUCAUUCGCAAAAUGCCAGAUUGUGUGGUUGAAAAAAAUGUUUGUGGCUGGAUGAAAGUGUAUAAUUAUAAAAAAUGCUAUGCAUAAGCCUAUAUAAAUAGAUAAAAAUGAAAAAAACAAAUAAAAAUAACUUAUCAAUAAGCAAAGCCUAGUCCUAUAAGUUAAAUCAAAAUCACCAACUACCUUGUAAUAAAUACAAACGUCCAAUAAACCACGUUAAGGCCAAAAAAUCUAAUUUCACUAACGGAGUCAGUAAGGUAUAUCAACAGUGAUAAAAGAGUUAAGAUACAGGCCAGGUGUAUGUCUUUAAUGAGUUUAAUCUGACUCAUGUACAAUAAAAAAGACGAGCUAGCAAAAUUAAUCGACAAAGUUUGUUAAUUACUCCGUAUAAAGAUGGGCAAAGACCCGCGCCCAAUUUAUCUAUUGGACGGAUCCGACGUAUUUAUAACAGGGGUAGUCAUGGCUUUUGAUGGGUCUCCAACCCAUUUAACUGCUCUAAUUACCAACAACAAAAACAAUCCUCCUCUCUCUCAAGCACACUUCAUUGAGGCGCCUCUUAACACUUGUAUCCGCCAUUGAAAUCAGCUUCUGAGAAAACUCAAAAUGCAAAUUAAUGGCUUAUGCCUAGCACUAUGGGUUGUUGGAUUUCUACUAAUGACAUUCAACUCCUCUAGUGGUAUAGUUAAUCGAUCUAUACUAGUUUCUGGUAACUAAUUGCUACUCCCUUUGUCCCAUUAUUAAAUGUCUGUUUUUCUAAUUGGAUAUCUCAAAUUUAAAUAUCUAUUUUUAUUUUUGUUUCAUAUACAAUUACCUACAAUACCCCCACUUUAUAUCUUUUAACAUACUUCGUAUUAUAUUUCCCUAAAUGCCCUUUUAAAUUGAUGCAUGCCCACAUAUACUUCACACAUGUAAUUCAUUUGAUUAUCAUUGAAUUUCAGCACUUGUUUGUGUCAUAGUCCUCAUAGACAUUGAUAAGAAUGGUCCUAUGCCUUUCUUAAUCAAUUUGCAUGUUAUAAAUGGCUAUCUCGUGGAUGUAGUAAGUAGUCGGUUCUCAAGGCAUCAUAAAUUGUAGUUCGUUUGAAUAAGUUUGUGUUUUGAUACUUAAGUUCUAUUUAACUUCAACUCUACAAUAUAUCUUAAAUACAUGUGCUGGAUACUAAACAAUCCUUACAAGAAUAUGUUAUUCGGAUACAAAUAUACAAAAGUAUAAGAAAAGGGGUGAACUGUAGUAUGGAGCUUGUUUGCAGAAUUGAAAGGAACAUAAUGUUGGGUAGAAAAAUAAUACAAGAGAAACUUCACUAGGAAAAUAUCCUAAGCUUGAUAGCUAAUGGAGCUCAAACUUUCCGCUAUAAUGGACCGACAACUCCCUCACACCUUUAAGUAGAUAUCUGAAGGUAACAAUUUCUUUGGUAUACCAGCGUUGUUACGUUACCUGUGUUUCUGACUGGUUGAGCAGCCAUUUCUUGCUCUUUUCAGUUUAACAUAAGUAUUUCAACUUUGCUCAGGGAAAUUCAAAUGGUGAUGUGAGCUUGGAAGACUAUGGCCCUGUUGAUCCGAGCCCAAGUCAGGCUUCUAUAGAUCAUGGACCUAUUGAGCAUGGCUCUCCUUCACAUCCUUACAUUCCAAAACCAAAGCCUCCACCACCGGCUCCUAUUCCCUCUGGACCAUGAUGGAUCGCCACAACCUUUGAAAGUCGUCAGCAGUCAGCUUAACUGUAUUCUUUUCAGUUUCCACGGAUGCCCAAUGUAUAUCUCCUUCAAGUGUAACAUCUACUAGUACUAGUAUUUCAGAAACAAUAUGAAAAUAUUUUCUGUAAUAACCCUAUGAAUGGUAGAUCAGGUGAUCUAAUUUUCUUAUGAUCAAAACUAUUAUUACUUGACUCAU